CACAGGUCAUCCUUCCUGAAUUUCCUAAAUAGACCAGAAUAUUCUUCAAGCGUGCCCCUGGCUCAUCAUCCAACUUCAGAGAAUCAACUGGCUAGCACCUUGGAGCACCUGCUAUGGAAUGAGCAUAGAUGAACAAUGUUGCACCACGCUUGACAUCACCGGGGCUUCUUUCCAGUGUGGAUUUGCUCAUGUAAAAUGAGGUGUGAGCUCUGCCUGAAAGCUUUUCCAUAUGCAUCACAUUUGCAGGGCUUUUCUCCAGUGUGGGUUCUUCGGUGUCUCAAAAGAUGUGAGCUGUUACUGAAAGCUUUCCCACACACAUCACACUCAUAGGGCUUCUCUCUACCGUGGAUUUGCUGGUGUCCAACAAGAGCUGAACUGUAUCUGAAGGCCUUUCCACACUUGUCACAUUCAUAUGGUUUCUUUCCACUGUGGAUUUUCUGGUGACAGAAGAGGCCCAAGCACUAGCUAAAGCUUUUCCCUCACUCACUACACUGCUAUGGCUUCUCUUCAGUAUGAACUCUGAUGUUGUCUCAGAUAUGAACUCAGAGAGGAUUUCCCACAAUCAUUACACUGGUAUGGUUUCUUUUCCAUGUGAGUUCUCUGGUGUCAAAUAACAUCUGAGCUGUGAUGAAAGACUUUCCCACACUCACUACAUUGGAAAGGUUUCUCCUGUGUGGGUCCUUCAAUGCUGAAUAAGAUGUGAACUGUAAUAAAAGACUUUUUCACACUCAUCACACUGAUAGGGUUUUAUAUGGCUAUGUAUUCUCUGAUGGUCAGUAAGUUGUGAGCUCUGAGUAAAAGUUUUGCUACAUACAUUACAUGAA